rnacentral:tRNA from 1 species
GGCUUCGUAGCUUGGAGGAAAGAAGCGCCCGUCUAGUGAAUUGGGAGUCGUGGGUUCGAUUCCCACCGGAGCAU